rnacentral:rRNA from 1 species
UACGUAGGGGGCAAGCGUUAUCCGGAAUUACUGGGUGUAAAGGGAGCGUAGACGGUUGUGCAAGUCUGAAGUGAAAGGCAAGGGCUCAACCUUUGGACUGCUUUGGAAACUGUGCAGCUAGAGUGUCGGAGAGGCAAGUGGAAUUCCUAGUGUAGCGGUGAAAUGCGUAGAUAUUAGGAGGAACACCAGUGGCGAAGGCGGCUUGCUGGACGAUGACUGACGUUGAGGCUCGAAAGCGUGGGGAGCAAACAGG